UUUGCAUGACUUAUAAAUUUUUUUGACACCUCAAUAUUUUUAAAUAGAGCUAUCCAUCACAAUUAUUAUAAUCUCUGAGAAAUCAUAUUUAUUUAGCAAAUUUAAUGAAUAACAAUCCGAAGCCAAUAGACUCAUUUCCUUAGAAGAUAUGAGAGAAGAGCCAUAAAAGGGAAGAAAAUAAUCAUAUAGAGAGAAAUCAAUUCCAUGCAAAGAAG
rnacentral:misc_RNA from 1 species